rnacentral:rRNA from 1 species
GAUGAACGCUGGCGGCGUGCCUAAUACAUGCAAGUCGAGCGAACAGAUGAGGAGCUUGCUCCUCUGACGUUAGCGGCGGACGGGUGAGUAACACGUUGAUAACCUACCUAUAAGACUGGGAUAACUUCGGGAAACCGGAGCUAAUACCGGAUAAUAUAUUGAACCGCAUGGUUCAAUAGUGAAAGACGGUUUUGCUGUCACUUAUAGAUGGAUCCGCGCCGCAUUAGCUAGUUGGUAAGGUAACGGCUUACCAAGGCAACGAUGCGUAGCCGACCUGAGAGGGUGAUAGGCCACACUGGAACUGAGACACGGUCCAGACUCCUACGGGAGGCAGCAGUAGGGAAUCUUCCGCAAUGGGCGAAAGCCUGACGGAGCAACGCCGCGUGAGUGAUGAAGGUCUUCGGAUCGUAAAACUCUGUUAUUAGGGAAGAACAAAUGUGUAAGUAACUAUGCACGUCUUGACGGUACCUAAUCAGAAAGCCACGGCUAACUACGUG